CUGUAUAAUUUCCUAUCAAAGUUUUUUCCAUCUGAUCAAAUUUCCCAACUCGGAAUCAAAUUCAAUAUCGUGGAGCCAUCAUUUGAAAGUUCAAUCGAAACAUCAGCUCUCAUCAAGAAAAUUUCCUGACGUCCGACUACCACCCAAUGAUUCCAGCAACUGUUUCAACAAAUAUCAUUCUGUGACGGAGCUCCAGUUUGCCCGUCAUCAGUAAUUAACUCCGCUCUCAUGCCAACUACCUGUGUCGCUGUCAAAUGUACACACAACGGUCGAAAUUGCAAGUUAAAAAAAUUCCCUACGGAAGAGUCCAGAGCAAAAUUAUGGGACCACCUCCUUAGGAGAGCCAAUUUUACCAGGAAAGAUUUUCAUCGCAUAUGUGCGUGCCACUUUGACAAAAAGCAGUUUGAUGAAUUUAAUGGCAGAUUAAAGAAGACCGCUAUUCCUACAAUUUUUCCCACUCAUAAGAUAACAGCUUUCACAGAAGGCGAUGGUCCAGAUUCUUUUGAAUACGAUUAUGAAGACAUCAUCCCAGUUCCAGCACCUGCCAUAGCUAAAUCUUUUAAUAUAAGUGGAAAUUUAUCAAUAAAACCACAAUUAAAAUUUAUACUUCCUAAGAGUGUUGAGACUCCUCAAAACUUACUAUCAAACACCUCAACACUUGGAUCAACUUUUUCAUUGGAUGGAGUCAAGUUCAUUUCGUCUCCUGUGUUAGGAGACAUUGAAUGUCUCACUGAAGUUGAAAUCCCUCAACCUAUUGAUCAGGGUCUGUGUGUACCAAAACCAACCUUUAUAUUACCUAAACCAGACUCUGAGCAACUGUCUGCAUUAUCAGCAACAACUGAAGAUUCAGAUGCUUCUUAUGUCAUAGACCCAUACAAAGAAUCAGAUUCUCCUCAGUCUGAAAACCAUCUGAGGAGUGAGAGCAAUGAAACCAGGUCUGACGAGAUUGAAGCCCUCAGGAAAGAAAAAGAUAAUCUCAGAAGAGAGCUGUAUCGCUUGAGGAAGAAGAUGACUGAAUAUACAAAAAUGUUGCGCAACUUCAGUGAUGAUGAACGAGCCUGUCUGAGCGGAAAGAAAGUUAGACAGUGGUCUGAAGAAACUUACAAUAAAUGUUUGGAAAUAAGGUUAGCUGUUGGCAAAAAAGGGUAUGACUUUCUACUGAAAAAAGGUUAUCCACUAGUUUCCUAUGCCUCCUUGUGCAGAUUUAUUCAAAAACUAGCUGAGAAAAAGGAACUUUCUCAAAGCGUUGCUGCCGAUCUAGCAGAAGAAACCUCCUCGAUACCAAACUCACCUAGUUCCUCAUCUGUGGAUGAUGAUAGUGAUGAAUAUGAAGAAAUUAUCAUGUAG
rnacentral:lncRNA from 1 species